rnacentral:rRNA from 1 species
GCUCAAUGAUUUUUUAAAUUGCUGUAGUAUUUUGACUAUACAAAGGUAUUGAAUAGAUUUUAAUUGAAUGCUAAGAGAAUGGAAUUACAGAAAAUAGCUUUUUUUAAAUUAAAAAUUGAAAUUUUUUUAAUUUGUGCAGAAACAAUUAUUAAUAUUAAGGACMAGMAGACCCUAUGAAUUUAUAAAUUUAUAUUAUAGUAAUUAAUAUAAAAUAAAUUUUGGUUGGGGCGACAAAAAAAAAUAAAAAACUUUUUUUUUAUAAAAUGAUCCAUUAUUAAUGAUUAUAUGAAAAAUACUCUAGGGAUAACAGCGUUAUAUUUUUUGAUAGCUCAUAUUGACAAAAAAGUUUGCGCACCUCGAUGUUGGAUUAGGAUGCUUUUUUAAUGAAGAUAUUAAAAAAAGAAGUUUGUUCAACUUUUAAUUUCCUACUUGAUCUGAGUUCAGACCGG